AUUGAACGCUGGCGGCAUGCUUUACACAUGCAAGUCGAACGGUAACAGGUUAAGCUGACGAGUGGCGAACGGGUGAGUAAUGCAUCGGAACGUGCCCGAUCGUGGGGGAUAACGCAGCGAAAGCUGCGCUAAUACCGCAUACGAUCUGAGGAUGAAAGCGGGGGACCGUAAGGCCUCGCGCGAUCGGAGCGGCCGAUGUCAGAUUAGGUAGUUGGUGGGGAAAAGGCCCACCAAGCCGACGAUCUGUAGCUGGUCUGAGAGGACGACCAGCCACACUGGGACUGAGACACGGCCCAGACGCCUACGGGAGGCAGCAGUGGGGAAUUUUGGACAAUGGGCGAAAGCCUGAUCCAGCAAUGCCGCGUGCAGGAAGAAGGCCUUCGGGUUGUAAACUGCUUUUGUACGGAGCGAAAAGGUCCUUUCUAAUACAAGGGGCUCAUGACGGUACCGUAAGAAUAAGCACCGGCUAACUACGUGCCAGCAGCCGCCGUAA
rnacentral:rRNA from 1 species